ensembl:lncRNA
CUCUCUCUCUCUCUCUCUCUCUCUCUCUCUCUCAGCAGGAUAAGAUCAGACUGAACCCAGCGUAGAUCAGUCGCUUCUUUGGAGCUGUCUUCUGUAAUAGCCUGGACAGACAGACGGACAGACAUUUACAUUUAGGGCAUUUAGCAGACGCUUUCAUCCAAAGCGACUUUUCAUCCAAAGCUGGGGAUCGAACUAGCAACCUUUCAGUUACAAGACAACUGCUCUACCUCCUGAGCUGAGCCGACCACCACCGGCUUAGCUCAGACAGACUGUUAGGGCGAUGGAGAGGCUGAGGAGACGGUGAACAUUGGAGUGAGAUACAAACCCAGGCUCAGAGCGGCCAAUGAGAACGCAGGACCGAGGGGCCUGUCCAUGGCAUCCAAUCGGAUCGUCCGUCUGAGCGGCGGGCAGAAUGUCCUGCUCCGCUGCCGGUCAGAGGUCGUGCCGGGCGACCCCCGGCCCGGGGUCACAGAGGGGUCAGUGGUCAGAGGUCACACACCUGGAACAGGUGAGGUUCAUCUAGGCUCCUAGCAGACUCCUUCAUCCUUCAGCUAGUCUCCUAGCUCCUAGCAGGCUCCUUCCUCUAGUCUCCUAGCUCCUAGCAGGCUCCUUCAUCCUUCCUCUAGUCUCCUAGCUCCUAGCAGGCUCCCUCAUCCUUCAGCUAGUCUCUUAGCUCCUAGAAGACUGCUUCAUCCGUCCUAUAGUCUCCUAGCUCCUAGCAGGCUCCUUCAUCCUUCCUCUAGUCUCCUAGCUCCUAGCAGGCUCCCUCUUCCUUCCUCUAGUCUCCUAGCUCCUAGCAGGCUCCCUCUUCCUUCCUCUAGUCUCCUAGCUCCUAGCAGACUCCUUCAUCCUUCCUCUAGUCUCCUAGCUGGUCUAGGGGACCAGGACCGGUGCUGUGUUCUGAUACCCAUACUUCCAUGAGUACACUUAAACGUAGUACACUCUCC